rnacentral:tRNA from 1 species
GGCGGGGUAGCUCAGCUGGUUAGAGCAACGGAAUCAUAAUCCGUGGGUCGGGGGUUCAAGUCCCUCCCUCGCUACCA